GUAGGUGAACCUGCGGAGGGAUCAUUACACAAGUAUGCAAGCCCAGGACUACCGCCGUCCCCUACUUGAGCGGUAGCCGCUAGGGGAGGGUGGUAGCCUGGGAUCCAUAUUCACCCAUGUCUUUUUGCGUACUACCUGUUUCCUUGGCGAGCUCGCUCGCCAAUUGGACCACCAAUUAAACCUUUUUGUAAUUGCAAUCAGCGUCAGAUAACACAAAUGUAAUAAAUUACAACUUUCAACAACGGAUCUCUUGGUUCUG
rnacentral:misc_RNA from 1 species